rnacentral:ncRNA from 1 species
UCAAAGUUUUAUUCUUGCUUGUUUAUUUUCUUUAGAAUUGAUAUAUAUGUAGGUUUUUGCGUUUAUUUGAAUUAUCUUGAUGGUGAUUUGGUUUAUUGCAGUAUUUAGUAUUGUUUAUUUAAGAUAUUAUGAUUUAGUAAAUUCUGUUUAUUAUUGAUUAAAGAUGUGCCAGCAUUCGCGGUUAUACAUUGAAUAUGAGUGAAUAUUUUUAGUUAAAGUGGUGUUUUUGAUUUAUUUGGGCAUUUAGAGUUUAUGUUAUUGGGUGAAAUUAUUAAUUAUUUUUGUUUGUCUUAUUUGGGUUAUAAUGUGGCUGUGAAAUCUGUAUUAUUUAAACUAGGAUUAGAUACCCUAUUAUUGAUGAUGUUAAUUAUUUUAACUUGAGUAGUAUUAGUUAUGGUCUUGAAACUUAAAGAAUUUGGCGGUAUUUUAGUCUUUUCAGAGGAAUCUGUUCCGUAAUUGAUAAUCCGCGUUGGACCUUACUUAGUUAAAAUUGUUUGUAUAUCGCCGUUAUUGAGGAUUUUUUUAGAAUUGAUUUUUUUGAUAUUUUUGGAUAAUAUUUCAGGUCAAGGUGCAGCUUAUAUCUAAGUGGAAAUGGAUUACAAUAUUUUAUUGUGCGGAUUAUCAAUUGAAAUUUUGAUAUGAAGGUGGAUUUGAUAGUAAUUUUAUGUAUUUUGUUAAUUUGAUUUUAGCUCUGGAAUAUGUACAUAUCGCCCGUCGCUCUCAUUAUUUUAAGGUGAGAUAAGUCGUAACAUAGUAGUUGUACUGGAAAGUGUGGCUAGAAUGAU